rnacentral:lncRNA from 1 species
UUUAUAAAAGUUAAUAAAUGGGUUAGAUGCUUUUUCAAAGGAUUGAAGAGUGAGAGAGGUUGAAAGGGUGAGAAAACUGAAUUGUUGUUGAAUUGGGCAGGGUUUCAAAGAUGUAAGCAACGUGGGAGGAGGCUAUCUUGCUUGGACGGAGAAUGUUUUUCCGGUGAAGAUAGAGAAGAAAGAGAGAGAUGAACUCUGAUCUGUAAAUCCAGUCAUUUAAAUGGUUGUGUGACCAGAUGGCUCAGCAUUAUUGUGGAUGCAAUAUUAAUGUUAAUGUCGAUAAUUAUAAUAAUAGCUGUUCAGUUUUUUUUAAUUUUUAAUUUAAUAUAAGUGUUCCUAUCAAUUUCCGCAUAGCUUGAUUAAUUCUACAAACUUUAAAAUUAAUAAUUAUAUAAAAUUUAAGUGAACAUGUGCUGUUCAGCUUCUUGCCAAAUGAAACAGGUCAGUGAUGGACAUGUCCCGAUCCCUAGCCCGUUGUAAAGCCAGGCUAGUGAAACAAGGUAUCAUCAAUGAGACCAGAUUGGACGUGUCAAAGUUGGUGAACCGUUGCCAUCUGCCCCAUGCUAGGGCUUUUAUGGCAACAUGCGGAAUAAAUAGGGUGGAUCAUGUCACUUUUCAGAAUAAUAAUAUUCAGUAAAUAUCGUGUUUUUAAAAUGUGUCAUUUCUAAUUUAAAUGGUUGACUAACUUAUAAUAGUAAGUGAAAUUCGUUUAUUGAUUUAAAAAAUAAUAAAAAAAAUCUCAAAAUUAUUAAAAGUGAGUCUUAUUUAGAUUUUUUAUAUCUAAAAAUCUAAUUAUUUACAUAAUGAUGUAGUCACUAAUUUAAAAAAAUAGUUUUUGAAAAUUCUUGUAAAAAUAUAAGUACAAUCCAACCGUUAUAUUAAAAUUUAUAAUUUUUUUAAGUUGUUAUUUUAAUUUGCGUAAUCAAAUUUUUUCUUGAGUCUAAAUCUAUAUUACUAGCUUAUAAAUACAUAUGUUAAACCAUUUAUAUAAUUUAUUUGAAGUAGAUUUUCAUUUAGUUAUGACAAACUUAGACUUGAUUAUUUAAAAUCAUUCACUACUAUAUGAAUAAUAAUUUUUUGAAAUUUUAUUUGGAGUCUAUUUUUAGUUAACAAGUUAGAUAAAAAUAUAUAUUUUAACUUAUAAAAUAUAUUUAAAAAUAAAUUUAUAAAAUUAUGAUUUUUAUGUAAAAUGAUAAAUUGAUUAAUUCAACUAGAUUUAAUUGAUAAAUUAAUUAAAAUAAAAAUAAAUAAAAUUUAAUCAAGUCACGCUUCUAGAAAUCCAUUAUUUCACCAAAUUUUUUUUAGCCUGUAUUAAUUCACCAAUUUUUUUAAUUUUUAAAAAAAUCCUUUAACUAUGAAGGCUAGCAGAUCAUUUUGUCAGAAAACUAGUUGUAGCUCUGCGAAGCAUUUAAUUUUGCUGUAAUUGCACUUUAAAAGCAACCUUGUGAUUCAACAGGCAGCAAAGUAUAUAUAUAUUUUAAGAUUUAUUUAAAAAUAUAAAAUCCAAUAUUUUAAAAAAAACAGGGCAAAACCGUGUUCCAAGUAGGCAAUUUUGCAUGUUUCGGAUAUGAUUAACUUCAAUUUCUAACAAAAUCAGAGUCUUGGAAACAUUUAAGACUUCUAAUUAUCUGAAUAGCACCUAAUUUAAUAUACAUAAAUAUAGUUAAUGAAUGUAAUUUUAUAAUGCUAAUCAAUUUAAACAUGGUUAAGCAACAUGUUGCCAUUUGCAGACAUUUGUAUUCUCCUUGUGGAUCACCUAAUCUCUUACACUAUAUUUAUGAGAUUCACCAACCGGCCUUGAACAUUCUCAUGCUUAUUAUUAGCGUAUGCAAUCUACUUUUUUUAAAAAAUUAUGUGCAAUGUUCAUAUGAUUCUUAAACUUCCACAUGAAAAGGGGAAGAAUGGAAGACAAAAGACAAAGGCACGUUGGUGUCUGUUUCCCAACAUGCAUAAGUCUGGUUGUCAAGAUGUUGUGUUAAUGUGUCCCAUUAUUCCGUUUGGCUUAUAACAUCCUUGCAUGGUUUCUUAAAUUCUCUCGGAGUUCUAGUCUCUAUUUCAAGGAACAAACCUAAGCCCACCAACAUGAAAAUGUUCACAUCACUGAUCUGGUCAAAUCAGCUUUGCAUAAGAAGCGAUGAAAAUGACCAAUUGGGUCACCUUUGUUUCUUCAUGUUGGCGAUUUGAUGAUUUUAUAUACUGAUAUCUGAAGCUAAUCGGGAUCUUGGUAUUGGAAGGAGAGAUGGAUAAAGAGUUAUCUUUGGAGUUGACCCCUACAUGGGCUGUGGUCACUGUGGUGGUGGUUAUGGUUUCUCUUGGUUUCUUCUUUCAAGGCUCCUUGAAACAGCUUGCAAAGGUAUAAGAUUUUCUCACAAAUGUUGGUAGUUCUUAAUAAGUUCAAUUUUCAACCUUUUGAUGCCAUAAAUAUGUGUCUCUUUGUCUCAGUUCUCUCAUGUCUGGAGUGGUACUUUGAUGUUAUAAUUAUCUGUUGUGAUCCUUUUUGUCUUUCUUUUCAAUAGUGGCUGGAUAGGACCAAGAGAAAAGCACUACUUUCAGCACUAGACAAGAUCAAAGAAGGUAAGCAACAAGAAUUGAUUGAAAAUCCAAAUUAUUGGGUCAGUUCAAAAGAAAAGUAGUAGUUUUGAUGCUCAUUGUUUGGUUUUGUCAAUCUGUGAGCAGAGCUAAUGGUUUUUGGGCUUCUAUCGUUGUUGAUGGGUCAUUGGAUUGUUUUUGUGGCCAAGAUUUGUGUUAAAUCAUCAACUUUGAACAGCACAUUUUAUCCAUGCGUGGUGAAGAAGAAUAAUUUAACACCAGGACAGCAUGUUCUUUCAAGAGUAAAGUACCCAAACGAUUCAUUUGUUAAAGAGCUGGUGCACAAACAAAAGAAUGAAUAUUGUCCCGAGGUGACUCUCCUCUUCAAAGUGUAAUGUUUACAUGGCAAUUUUUUUUUUCUUGGUUUGCAUUGAUGAUUUAUGUUUUUAUAUCGAACUUUACCGUUAUGCAGUGGGAGGUGGGGUCUGCUAUUAUUCUGUUUUUAUUAAUCGAAACACUGAUUGUUUUUGAACUUAUAUGUCGUCAAGGGUCAUGAAUCCUUCGUUUCACAUGAAAGUCUCGAACAGCUUCAUCGUUUGAUGUUUGUCCUGGGAGUUACCCAUGUUUCUUACAGCUUUAUUGCCAUAGCCUUGGCCAUGAUCAAGGUAUGACCGCACCCUUACCAUUACAAUUUCUGUUGAUAACAAUUGAAGCUUGAUAUUCAUAAAGAGAGCUCUGAGGUUUUGUUUUUAAUGAGUGCAGAUUUAUAGCUGGAGAACAUGGGAAAACCAGGCUAAGACUAUGGCUCUUCAAAGUGUACUAGGUGCAGAAUUUUAUAGUCCAAGAUAGCAUCGUGUUAAUUUUUUUCCUGGAUUUCUUUGCUUAGAGUUACCAUGAAAACCCUCAUAAAUGAGAAUCUCUUUUUGGCCAUGAAUACAAUUUCUGAAUUCCAGGAUCACCUGAAGCUGCAUUUGACGAAACAAGGCAACUAUCUACCUUCAUUUGUCACCACACAUCCCAUCCAUGGAGCCAGCACCGAGUUCUUGUUUGGCUGGUAAUAUCAGAAAACCAUGUACCUUUAUGGCACAUGCUGUUGCAGGUCUAAUUUAAGCAAAAUAAUAAUGAUAUGCAUGGCUUGACUGUAAUUGGUUGCUAAACCUCGUAUCAUUUACUUCUGAUUUUCCAAAUCAUUGAUUGUACGGAUUAAAUCACUCUAUGAACACCUUUUUUAAGAUUAAUGUUGAUUCCUUUUAGAAUUGAAUUCCAGUCGUUCAGAAUGUUUGGUUUUCUUUGGGGCCAUCUAUUGGCUCAACAUGAAAAUCGGGAAAUUUGGAAGACCAUCUUCCAAUAGAUGUUACAGAUGUUGCUUAAAGUCAGUCCUUUCAUAAAAUUGAUAUAGUAAAUAUUAUGCAGAUCAUUUCCAUACAUUCUGGUUGCAUAUUGAUGAAUUCUCUUUUUUAUUCUGGUUUUGUUUCUAGCAUUUGAGUGAUCAUAUAUGAAUUUGCAGCUUUGUUUCAGCCGCCAGUUCUGGAGUUCCAUAAACCAAGCUGACUAUAUGGCUUUGCGCUUGGGUUUCAUCAGCGUAUGCUCUUUGUGAUCUAAAUGGAGCUUCUCUUUCUCAUAGAUUCUAUCAAGGAAAAACUAAAUAUCUAUCAUAUAGUAUCUCAACAUACAAGAAAGAUUAUCAGAACAAAUCAGCAUUACUAAUUGUUGGCUCCAAACAUUUCAUUCUUAUUUUGGUAUAUUUUUCUUUUCCUAUUUUCAGAAACAUCAACUUCCUCUGACAUAUGAUUUCCAUAAUUAUAUGCUUCGAAGCAUGGAGGAGGAAUUCCGUGAUAUUGUUGGCAUCAGGUAAUACCCUAAUGGCAUUCCUUGAAUUAAUGUGCAAAAUAUUGUUGUUACUUGAGCCAUUUACUUUUUCCAACAGUAUUUUUUACUUGCAUGAUUAUGUCAUGGUAAUAAUGAGUAUAUACAGUCUGAAUGAUCAAACAAGCUAAUUGUAAGUGUCAGAGUACUGCAUUAUAGCUAACAGAACGAAUGUGAGUUAUAUGCUGCAUUUCAUGUUGUCUGAAUGCAAUGAGCAAGAUAAUGAAAAUGUUGGCAGUCCAAGCAAUUUUUGUCUGAAGACCGCUGUCUUUAUGCUUUAUCAACAUAACUCCUGCAAAAUAGCAAGUCAUAUUGAUUUCCAGUGCUUGGGCUUCUUUUGCAGUGUGCCUCUGUGGAUUUAUGGCAUAUGUUGCAUUUUCCUCGAGUUUCACGGUAAUUUUCCAUAAGUCAUGAUAAGGUAGUAACUGAAGAGCUGGGACAAUAUUGUCUCUGGAAAACACGGCAGUUGUUCAAAAUUCAACCACGCCUGAAACUUGUUUUUCUAGAACCUCCCAGUUGAGCUAACUCAAGAGCUUAGCAGUUCUGCUGACGCAACCAAACACCAUCUUAGUUGCAUAUUACUUUGUUUUUCUCUUGUAUCUUUGCAACUCCUGCUUGCUUCAUUCCUGAAACCUCGAACUAUCUGUUUUCUGGUUCAGGAACUGAUCUUUACUUUUGGCUUUCCUUUCUUCCAGCCAUUGUAAGUCCACUAAGUUCCACUUUCAGUUCCUUCCCGUACUUAAUUGUUCUUAAUAGCCCAUUUGAUGCCGUUCUUUUCCUUCUUGAUGGGAAUGUCAAAGUUAAUCCUGCUAAUUGGUACAAAACUGCACCGGGUGGUGGUGAAAUUGGCUGUUGAAAUUAUGAAUUUAUUUCCAUGGCUGGGAAAUCGUCAGUUCAACCUGAGGGAUGAGCUCUUCUGGUUUGGAAAGCCUAGACUUCUUCUGUGGUUGAUACAAUUCAUAUCAUUUCAGGUAACUGAAGCAAAAACAUUAUACAAAAUUUGUGUUACAGCAUCAAAAUCUCAUAUACUUACCAUUACUGUGGCAGAACGCUUUUGAGAUGUCAACAUUCCUAUGGUCCCUGGUAAGAUUUUAAUUCUCAUUGUAGCACAACAGACAGUUCGAUAUCACAUAGAUAUAGGCUAAAUGUUGAGGAGGGGAAUCUCUAGCAUGCAGCUAUGCUACAUAAACUUUAUCAGAUAUUCUGCAUGAUGAAUUCUUCAUAUCUUGGCUUCUUUAAAAUGUCUGCUUAUUUUGGGCUUCACUAGUCUUUCCUUGAUAUGGAAAAAAGUCUUCUUUUCUCACUUAUCGUAUGUGAUGCUGAUAAUGGUUCCUGUUACCAGUGGGAAAUCAAAGAGUCUUCUUGUUUUAUGGACAAUGAGACGUACAUUGCUAUCCGCUUGGCUUGCGGGUAAAUUUCUUUAAUAUUCUUGUUAAUCCAAACAUUUUAGAUGUAUAUCUGAUCAAAUAAAUUUUAUAGUAUUGGUGCCUUUGUAUUACUGCAGGGUGGUCACACAAUUCUGGUUUAGCUUUAUCACGUUCCCACUCUAUGUAAUCAUCACACAGGUCUGGUUUAGCUUUAUCUUCUUUUGGUUCCUAUCUAUUUCUAGGUCUCAGUUCUGAAAAAGGUUGCUUAUUUUUUUGUUACAGAUGGGCGCAAAGUUCAAGAAAACGGUAGUAUCCGAAAAUGUGAGGAAAUCACUGCAUGGGUGGCAAAGGAGAGUGAAGGCCAAGCAAAGUUCAUCUACUCCAAACCUUCUGGCUCUUCCAUCAACUACAUCUUUGGGGUUUUCGAUGACAGAUAGCAAACUCAAUACCAACUUUAGCAGCAUAGGCAGGAGCUCCUCGAGAGUCGUGGAUAAAUCAGCAACCUUGCAACAUCAAGAGGCCUCUACUUCACAAGCAGUUACUUAUGGAAUAUCAGAAGAUAAUGAAACGCUUGAGGUUUCACUUGGUUCUGGUACUCCUUGCUAUGACACUUCUAGUGAUGAAGACGAUGCUGGUGUUCAUGAUCUUGGUCAUUAACGGGUAUGUCUCAAUACCCGGUACCAUUUACCAAUGAUCCCCCGUAAUUUUAUAUUAGAAUGAAAUUGGGUUGCAAGUGGUGAGACUGCAGUCUAACAAACAACUAUGGAUCAAUACAUCUUUAUAAUUAGAAGGCAGGGGGUUUUGAAGGAGUUUGGCCUGGCAGAGCUGUGCUUCUACCAAAAGUGUCGGUGACGGCAGCAGUUCUAGCACACAAAAUACGUUCAAAUACAGAAUCCGUAGCAAAGAUGCUUGUUUAUGAAAAUUGUGAAGAUGCAUUUCAUAAAUCUUGCUGCAAUUCGCGUGCAGAAUGAAUACCAGUUGAUGAAUGAUUUCGGCCUUUGUGCGAGAGGGUUUUCUUAGCAUAGGUUAAAUAGUGUGAGGUUGGUAUUUACAGUGGAAGGAAAAUCUUGUUAAUUACUAAGAUUAUGGCUAAUUUAAGUUAAAAGGAAGACCUUACUUAGAGUCUAUCAAGUCAAUCUUCCUUACUUGGAUCCAUGUCAAAUCAAGAAAAAAAUAUGGAUCAAAGCAUAUACAUCCUCAUGUUCAAGAGGGAAAAAAUGAUUAUGGAGUUGUUUUUAAUAUAACAAAUGUGAUAAAUUUUGAGAGGGUUUGUUUUUUUAGGAAAAUCUCAAAUUUCUUUGCUGUACUAUACAUUUAAAUGAAUAUUUAAAGUGCAUUUUUGGAUGUUUUUUAAAGUAUUUUUCAUUUGAAAAUAUAUUAAAAUAAAGUUUUUUUUAUUUUUAAAAAAUAAAUAAUAUUAAAAUAUUAAAAAAAUAUUAAUUUAAAAAAAAAUAUUUAAAUUUUUUAAAAGUAUUUUUAUUAAAACAAAAAGGUAUUAAUCACAAAUAAAUUUAACUUUUUUAUUUAAUUUUUAUUUUUUCUAAAAACAUUACCAUUCUCAGUCCUCUCUCUUGACUUCCUUGCUGUCAUAUCUUCUUCUUCUUGCUUUGAUGAUAUCGUCAGAAGACACCUUCAACAUGAUCAAUGGAGUUUGAAGAUUUACCAUUAAUUCUCAUGUUAUUAUUCUAACCAUAUGGGAUUCUAAUUUUUAUUUUUCUUCAAAAUUAUUGUUUCAUUUUUAAUAUUUAAGGAAGAAUUUGAUAUAAUGUAUAGAUAUACCAAUUCCAAAAUACCCUAAAAUCAUUAAAAAAAUGAAGACCAACCAAAUUUACAAGAAAAAACAACUAGCAUCAAAUUUCUUUCAUAGAAUGAAACCAAUUCAUUGUUGUCUAGGCACUGCUUCUAAGUUGUAACUAGGAAGAAAGCCUUGACUAAAUCAGGAAAGCUAUACCUUCCUCGAAAACAAGACUUUCUUAAUAACUCUCCAACUCUAGAUGAUUUGUCACCUUUGACUUUCCACCUACCCUAUGCCUCUAGUUGAAGUGCUGAUCAAUCAGCUAGCGAUGAUCAAUAUAUAUUUCUAUCUUUUGAAUUUAAUUAAGUAAGCGAUGAACAUUCUGAUGAUACCCAUGUAUUCUAAAAGCAUUUGUUUUUUUUCCUGCUUUCUUGUUUUGUAGCCCCAGGAGAAGAAGGAUGAAGACAAACAACAAUAGGAGGAGAGAAGUGAUAUUUCUGUGUUGUUUUCUCAUCUGCCAGGAUCAGGAUCUGUUGUCAGCUUAUGGGGAGAUGCUUCCAAUUUUAACGGCAUCAAGCCAAUCUAUCAAAGCUUGCCACUCCUCGAGCUCUCAGGCUACAGUUCUCCUGCAGGUCCGGAAGCCCUUCAUUCUGGCUGUACACGUGCACUUCAAUGGUUCAAUCACGAGAGGGCGCCUGGACAACAACAGACACUAUACGGUUAGCGAGAAUGUGCAAAACAUGGAACUGUGUCUUCUCUGUUGUUUCAUUAUCCAAGUGAACUUUGGAACAGUAGCUUGUAUCUGGGUUUGAUUCGUUCUUGUGGCAUGAAUGUUGUACUUUCUCACUUUUGUGCGGAGCGUGUGGCUCACGCCGACCAUCAUUGUUAACUUUCCUUGAGUUUUGUGAAUUUGCUUGUCUCUUUAAACUCUUUCAAAUGAUACCAAACGUGUCACAUCAAAGGCAAGUCCACCUGUCAUAUGUGGCUCACGUGCAACCAUCGUUUGUAGCUUUUCUUUAUGUUCACAUAUUCGUCUCCUCAGGCUUUUUCUAAUUAUAUCUGUAAUAUUAUCAUCAUAGCUUUGAUGAUGUGAUUAUGAGAUUAUUAUUUUUUUUAUCUUCUCCCAUCUAAAAUUAAAAUGUGCACUUUUUAAGUAUUGUUUCUACCAAACUAAACUACUUUUCAAAAAGAUUUAUCGGUACUAGUUUGCUUUAAAAAGUUUAAAUUAUGGAAAUUUAAAAAAAAAAAUAUCUAAAUUUAUGCUUUAAUACACGUGAGUGUAUAGUGACUCGUGUUUUGUCGUGAGUUAGAAAAGUUUUUCUCCAAUAAAAAAUUACAUAUAUAGGCUUUUUUGAUAUGUCUUUAUAUAAAAAAAAUUCUAAAUGUAAAUAAAAACACUCAUUUAUACAUGUAAUUAAAU